GGAAACGGGCGGAGCUUCGAAAGCAACAUACCUGUGUUAAAAACGACCUUGAUCAACACAGGUGCUGAAAGCGCCUCAAACGCACCAAACUGGAGUAUUUUCAGAACCAGACCUCGACCCUCCUGCCAAGCUCUGGUUAUCGACUUGUUGAGGGAGAUGCAUUCUGACAUCCUGCAAACAGCAUGAGAGGGGGCUAGGAUGAAUUCAGACCGUGGAAUCAUGAGUCUGUCAAAGCGAACGUCUUCGUGGUCGGUGGAGGAAGUGCUGGAGUGGAUUAGGAGCAGCACCCGAUGCACAUGAACACACUCCAUAAAUCCAUCAUCAAACAUGAUAUAGCAGGCCGUGCUUUGCUGAGACUGAAGGAGCAUCAUCUGGAGCUUUUUGGGUUGGAGGAUGAGGAGCAGCAGCAGAAAGUCCUGCAGGAUCUUCUUCUUCUCAAAGUUCAGGAGGAAAUCUGUGAACUUGGUGACAUCUGCUCUGACUGUUUCCCUCCAUAAUGGGCCUCAAAACACAGAGAAAAAGGAAUCCAGCUUUUUUUUUAUUUCCUGUCCGUCCAUUCAUCCGUGUGAAGGAGAUUGAAAGGUGGGAGUGAUGGAAAUAACAAGAGAAGGUGGAUAGAACGAGGGAUCGAUGUGGAGAGAAGGAAACCCAUUUCCUGUGUGAAAUUUGACCCGAGCAGAUGGAUGAGAUUAGUGUUUGUCUGGUUCUGAUCCCCUCUGUCCUUUCCUCUCUUUGCCUUUAACCACACUAGUAUGAAUUAUCUAAAGUUUUAAUCUAUUUAAUAUGAGAAACGGCUCCAGGGUGGUUGAAUCUUUUCUUUUUGUGUCUGAGAUUGUAAACGUUUCUGCAGCGUCUGAUUCAAUUUCAAUUCAAGUUUAUUCAUAUAGCGCAAAAUCACGACAAGUCGUCUCAAGGCACUUCACAUAAUUAACAUUCCAAUACAGGCCAGUUCAUUAAGCCAAUCAGAAAAAAAGUUUCCUAUAUAAGGAACCCAGCAAAUUACAUCAAGCAGUCCUUAUACUAAACAAGCAUUUAGCGACAGUGGAGAGGAAAACUCCCUUUUAACAGGAAGAAACCUCCAGAGGAUCCUGGCUCAGUAUAAGCAGCCAUUCACCACGACUCACUGGGGAUCGAGAAGACAGAAAACACACGCACACACAGGCACACACCGGCCAGCUAAACCACCUCUACUAAAACACACACACACAUUCACGUAAACCCAUACACACACACACCAGACCGGUCCAACGUCCAGAACUUUAGUCAUACUUUCUCAUACAUGCACAGAACGGAACAGAACCGGACAACACUACCUGCAGGUUUUCAUACACAGAGACACAAUGAGAUGAAUCACAGGCUGCACAACACAAAAUGGGAGGCAGCCCAGCCUACAGAACCAUGAAUACACAGACGAACGACAAGGGUAAAUUAUGAACGGUUUGAGUUUCUUUAGCCAAUUAUAACGAUGAUUAACUGUAGCGUACCUUUAUUGCACCAUGAAAUAUUUAAACAAUACAAGCGUUAGUGAGUUUACUUAAGUGAUUUUGCACAUCCAACCCUAUUACGACCCAUAUUCACUUUCUCAAUUCGUCUUGGGGUGUCUGUGUACGCAGACACAGACUCAUUACAACCUCCCUCACGUUUACUCUGUUCCCUCAGAGGCAAACGAGAGUCCAGGACAAGGUCCGGCGGCUCUCAGUCCAGCCCUCAGCCGGGGCCCGAAACGUCUUUAGUGUGUGGAUAGCAAAAAAUCACUACCAGCCGUAACACCACACUGCCGACCAGUUAUGAGAAAAAAGGGUGCAAUUUAAUUUAGGUACUCACUCUUCUGUGUGACAGGCUCGCCUUGAAUCUGAUUAGCAAGAGCCGUAGGUGGGAGUCCGCCUGUGAAGCUAAAACAGCCGGCCGAUGGGCAAUUCUCAGCCCCCCGGACUUUGGAUGAGGAAGUGGCGCCAUUCGGCUAUCCAGAGGCGAUCUCCCACUGAAAGGCUCUGCUAUCCCGGGUUUCGGCACCAAAUGUUGGGUAAUUUAUAUUUUCCAUAACCCUUUACCUGAAAUAAACACACCAAAUACAAAGAGGAGUUCAUUUUACACUGUCUCACCAAACAGUGGAGAGGAGGCGAUGCACAACUCCCUCCGGAGCUGUUUCCAUCGUCUCCCCCACCCCUCUCAGCUCAACAGAGGUUUUUAUUGAACAAUGAGAUGGAGGGCGGGCCUUCCUUGAGUUUCAGAGUUACAGACUCAUCUCCUAGGAAACCAUAUUCCAGAGAUAACAGCACAACAGGCUUACAGAGGAAUCAUUUACACAGAUGAAAUACACACACAAUUCCUCAGCUGACCGGUAACUUAAUCAACAUUCUUCAGAAUCAGCUGACCGGGGUAACUUAAUCAACACAUAUUGUUGGACCUUCAUCUUGUCUCAGGAAGUUGGGUGAUCACAGAGGCCAUUCUUCACCACUCUAAAAUGUGAUCAAAGAAGAUCGAUGACCUUUCGUUUAAACAAAUACUUAUCAUGUCCUGCAACGUUCUUUAGGCCUCAAAAAGGUACAUUAAAUACAGGAAAAAACCUUAAAUAUAGGAAAAAACCUAUCAGUGGUGGUGGUAGAGUUUGUAUUAUCUGUUUAAGUCCUAAAAAUAUAUAGAAGUUGCAUUUUUAAACAUACUAAAAACUUUUUCUGCUGAUAUUUUUGUUCGACUUCCCAUUUAUAAAGUCAAAAUGCAUUUUGUGUGAUUUUAACUGAACUGACACCAAAUAACAGUUGUUUUCUUUUUAAACCUAAGUUUAAAAGUACUGGUACUUUUUGUGUUUAAGGUCAAAUUUCUUUCGUAAUGAGAAAAAAAACAAUUCUUUCAGUUUGCCCUGAAAGUUUCAUGAGAAUUUCUUCCACAAAUAGGUCAGCUUCAUUAAGGACAUGAAAGUAUUUCAAGCAUCCAUUUGAUUAUGCACUGUGUUUUAAAGGUUAUGUCUGUUUUAAAUAUUUCUUUUGCUUAAGUCCUUUAAAUAAAGAAGUUCUGCUUUUGCAGCACAACCCAGCAGCUUUAUUUUAGGCAUCAUGUCUUUAAGGCAACGACAGCAGAAAUGUAAUCAUAAAUCAUUUGUCGCUUUGCAGCUGCAGAUCCUCAUAAGUAUUCCUCUAAACUUUCUUGUUUUGUGUCUGGUUGGAAGUGUCUUUGGGGACGGGCAACUGUUAAAGAUCUACUGCUGAAGGUCAUAAUAGUGAAAACGUCUUAAUGUGCAGCUUAAAUCAAGAGUCAGGUGUUGCAAAAGCUGAAAACUGCAGAGAAAUUGAGCAAUAAAAGAGUCUGACUGGAUCACGUCCUCUGAAUCAGACUCAUAAAAUCUGGGCAGACUUUUAGAGUGGUACUUUUAAUGGAUUUGACUGCCUCAGUCAUAGGAGUUAAACGUUUAAUGUGUCUAAAUAAGGAAUAAAUACAUUAAAAUCUA